AGCUCCUACGGGGGGCAGCAGUAGGGAAUCUUCCACAAUGGACGAAAGUCUGAUGGAGCAACGCCGCGUGAGUGAAGAAGGGUUUCGGCUCGUAAAGCUCUGUUGGUAGUGAAGAAAGAUAGAGGUAGUAACUGGCCUUUAUUUGACGGUAAUUACUUAGAAAGUCACGGCUAACUACGUGCCAGCAGCCGCGGUAAUACGGAGGAUGCGAGCGUUAUCCGGAUUUAUUGGGCGUAAAGCGAGUGCAGGCGG
rnacentral:rRNA from 1 species